rnacentral:rRNA from 1 species
UGAAAACCGGUCUCAGUUCGGAUCGCAGUCUGCAACUCGACUGCGUGAAGGUGGAGUCGCUAGUAAUCGCGGAUCAGCAACGCCGCGGUGAAUGCGUUCCCGGGUCUUGUACACACCGCCCGUCACACCAUGGGAGCCGGAAAUGCCCGAAGCCAGUGACCCAACCUUAGGGAGGGAGCUGUCGAAGGUGGAGCCGGUAACUGGGGUGAAGUCGUAACAAGGUAAC